GGGGUCGACCGGAAUUGACAGGAUGGAGAUAAGUAAGUAAGCAUGCAGCGCGUUGGGUGAAUUAGCGCUAUAAUCUGAACGCUCAAACUUUCAAAUGGCGAAAACAACUACGCCUUAGCUGCCUAAUUUAGAAUUAGCAUAGCUUUUGUCCCGCCGGUUUUCCGUUCAUCGGAUCGGUAUAUGGGGCAUCGAAAGAUGAAACUGGCCAGCUUAGCGGUGUGAUAAGCAGGUAAGAUAAAGCACCUAAGGAAGAAGGUAUAGGUGAGCUACUGACCUUCCCCUUCCUAACAAUUUAACAGAGCUAAGCAUGUAGAAAGCUUACCUUAUACCAUGUUUGGACGAGGGUUCGAAUCCCUCCGGCUCCAC
rnacentral:tmRNA from 1 species